rnacentral:rRNA from 1 species
UGGGGAAUAUUGGACAAUGGGCGCAAGCCUGAUCCAGCCAUACCGCGUGGGUGAAGAAGGCCUUCGGGUUGUAAAGCCCUUUUGUUGGGAAAGAAAAGCAGCUGGUUAAUACCCGGUUGUUCUGACGGUACCCAAAGAAUAAGCACCGGCUAACUUCGUGCCAGCAGCCGCGGUAAUACGAAGGGGGCAAGCGUUACUCGGAAUUACUGGGCGUAAAGCGUGCGUAGGUGGUUGUUUAAGUCGGUCGUGAAAGCCCUGGGCUCAACCUGGGAAUUGCGAUGGAAACUGGGCGACUAGAGUGUGGCAGAGGAGAGUGGAAUUCCUGGUGUAGCAGUGAAAUGCGUAGAGAUCAGGAGGAACAUCCGUGGCGAAGGCGACUGUCUGGGCCAACACUGACACUGAGGCACGAAAGCGUGGGGAGCAAACA